ensembl:lncRNA
GCCUUAAAAAAACAAGUAAACACCAAGCAUCAGUAACACUGCACAAUAUUGGAGCAGCAAAUAUCAAACAGGCUGCACUGAUCUAUAGAUUUUGUGUUCAAUAGUAAUAUAGAGGAUUAACAGUUGGUGGGAUGAACCAGUGACUGAAGGUGUUUCUCAGCUUCCACAGGAAGUCCUUCCUCAUCAGUUUUCGGUUAGGCAGACAUUGACAGAUUUCCGCAUGUGUCGUUCCCGGUUCUUUACUCUGAAAACGGAUAAGGAGCAUAGUAAACGUAGGCGGGGAAAUGUGAGGGGCGGUCGAACGGGAUGUGUUUAUUUGUUUCAUGCAGGGCAGCACCUUACCUGGCUAAGGUAACCUCUGGGUUCGAAUUGCUGAAGAGACAAUGCAUGGACUGAUUCCUAGCAGGAUUGCUAGCUCUACAGUCAGGUGAGUGCAAAGUUGUAAGUUAUAAUGUUUGUUUCUGGAAAAAAGUAACUAGGCAAGGUAACGUCAUAAUGUUAAACUAUCUAGUUGAGGCUAGCUAGCUACGUUAAUUAGCUAAUUGAUUAGCCAUGUAAAUGACAUUACAAUUUGAUCCGAGCCAACUCACAACCUUAACUGUAUGGGUACAGUAGUAAUUGUUAUAUAGCCAACGUCAAUGUAAUUAUUUUGUUUUAUAACAGAGUUUGUACGUUAUAUCGCCCAACAUGUUUAUAUGCGAUGAUAUGUUCUUGAUAUUCAUUUUGACUGUGUUGUACUUUGUUGGGGCGCAUAGGUCCACUAGUGUGUACAACAGUAUAGAGAAAGACAGGUCAUUGUUUACCUUAGCAACCAGCAUAAAGGGUAAAGCUUCAGUAUGUUGAAAAACCCAUUGCCUUUGUGUUUUGCUUGAAACUAACGUUCUAAAACGUAUAUAAUGAAUAAUUAUAGCACAAUAGAAACAUCUUUCACUAUCAUAAAUAUUUAGCUAAAUACCUGUUAUAGCCAGAUAGUCGGUGGCAUAGCGAAGCAGGCUGGAUAGCUGUAGUGUGAACUGCUAUAGCACCAGUCACAAUAUGAGUGCCUGUAGCAAUAAAACUAUUGCUUGUGCUAUAGCUAGGAAAUACAGUUCCCUCUAUAAGUAUUGGAACAAUGAAGUCACCACUUGUAUUUUGGCUGUACAUGGCUGGUGUUCUUCCCUGGACCUGUGUCCCUAAUCCACACCCUCUGUCUGCACUUCAAAAACCCACCAUGAACACAUCCCUGUCUUCAUAUUCAGGACCUGACUGAACCAGGUCAGAGGUCAAAAUACAGGCUCCAUCCCUAUACUUCAAGCAUGCCUCCCUCCUCUGUGAGGAGGUGAUCUGUGGUUUAACCAGAUAUCCU